CAGCAGUGGGGAAUAUUGCACAAUGGGGGAAACCCUGAUGCAGCGACGCCGCGUGGAGGAAGAAGGUCUUCGGAUUGUAAACUCCUGUUGUUGAGGAAGAUAAUGACGGUACUCAACAAGGAAGUGACGGCUAACUACGUGCCAGCAGCCGCGGUAAAACGUAGGUCACAAGCGUUGUCCGGAAUUACUGGGUGUAAAGGGAGCGCAGGCGGGAGAACAAGUUGGAAGUGAAAUCCAUGGGCUCAACCCAUGAACUGCUUUCAAAACUGUUUUUCUUGAGUAGUGCAGAGGUAGGCGGAAUUCCCGGUGUAGCGGUGGAAUGCGUAGAUAUCGGGAGGAACACCAGUGGCGAAGGCGGCCUACUGGGCACCAACUGACGCUGAGGCUCGAAAGUGUGGGUAGCAAACAGGAUUAGAUACCCUGGUAGUCCACACCGUAAACGAUGAUUACUAGGUGUUGGAGGAUUGACCCCUUCAGUGCCGCAGUUAACACAAUAAGUAAUCCACCUGGGGAGUACGACCGCAAGGUUGAAACUCAAAGGAAUUGACGGGGGCCCGCACAAGCAGUGGAGUAUGUGGUUUAAUUCGACGCAACGCGAAGAACCUUACCAAGUCUUGACAUCCCUUGACGAACAUAGAAAUAUGUUUUCUCUUCGGAGCAAGGAGACAGGUGGUGCAUGGUUGUCGUCAGCUCGUGUCGUGAGAUGUUGGGUUAAGUCCCGCAACGAGCGCAACCCUUAUUGUCAGUUACUACGCAAGAGGACUCUGGCGAGACUGCCGUUGACAAAACGGAGGAAGGUGGGGAUGACGUCAAAUCAUCAUGCCCUUUAUGACUUGGGCUACACACGUACUACAAUGGCGUUAAACAAAGAGAAGCAAGACCGCGAGGUGGAGCAAAACUCAGAAACAACGUCCCAGUUCGGACUGCAGGCUGCAACUCGCCUGCACGAAGUCGGAAUUGCUAGUAAUCGUGGAUCAGCAUGCCACGGUGAAUACGUUCCCGGGCCUUGUACACACCGCCCGUCACACCAUGAGAGCCGGGGGGACCCGAAGUCGGUAGUCUAACCGCAAGGAGGACGCCGCCGAAGGUAAAACUGGUGAUUGGGGUGAAGUCGUAACAAGGUAGCCGUAGGAGAACCUGCGGCUG
rnacentral:rRNA from 1 species